rnacentral:SRP_RNA from 1 species
AUCGGGGCGUUAGCGGUGCCUUGUAACCCUCAAUCCGCUACAGAGGGGAUGAAAACUUGCCAUGAGGGGUAUCUUUGUUUGGUCUGCCUCGCAUAAGUGGUGUUGACGGUUUGGUCUCGCGCAAUCAGAACCUGUGAACCUCGUCAGGGCGGGAACGCAGCAGCGAUAAGCAGUCAUUCUGAUGUGCCGCGAGGGUGCUAAAUCUGAGCUAACUGUGUGAGUAACGCU